rnacentral:rRNA from 1 species
CGUAGGGUGCGAGCGUUAAUCGGAAUUACUGGGCGUAAAGCGUGCGCAGGCGGUUUAGUAAGACAGGCGUGAAAUCCCCGGGCUCAACCUGGGAACUGCGCUUGUGACUGCUAAGCUAGAGUACGGCAGAGGGGGUGGAAUUCCACGUGUAGCAGUGAAAUGCGUAGAGAUGUGGAGGAACACCAAUGGCGAAGGCAGCCCCCUGGGUCGAUACUGACGCUCAUGCACGAAAGCGUGGGUAGCAAACAGGAUUAGAUACCCUGGUAGUCCACGCCCUAAACGAUGUCAACUAGGUGUUGGGAGGGUAAAACCUUUUAGUACCGGAGCUAACGCGUGAAGUUGACCGCCUGGGGAGUACGGCCGCAAGGUUA